rnacentral:rRNA from 1 species
UGGCUCAGAUUGAACGCUGGCGGCAGGCCUAACACAUGCAAGUCGAGCGGUAGCACAGAGAGCUUGCUCUCGGGUGACGAGCGGCGGACGGGUGAGUAAUGUCUGGGAAACUGCCUGAUGGAGGGGGAUAACUACUGGAAACGGUAGCUAAUACCGCAUAACGUCGCAAGACCAAAGUGGGGGACCUUCGGGCCUCAUGCCAUCAGAUGUGCCCAGAUGGGAUUAGCUAGUAGGUGGGGUAACGGCUCACCUAGGCGACGAUCCCUAGCUGGUCUGAGAGGAUGACCAGCCACACUGGAACUGAGACACGGUCCAGACUCCUACGGGAGGCAGCAGUGGGGAAUAUUGCACAAUGGGCGCAAGCCUGAUGCAGCCAUGCCGCGUGUGUGAAGAAGGCCUUCGGGUUGUAAAGCACUUUCAGCGGGGAGGAAGGCGUUGAGGUUAAUAACCUCAGCGAUUGACGUUACCCGCAGAAGAAGCACCGGCUAACUCCGUGCCAGCAGCCGCGGUAAUACGGAGGGUGCAAGCGUUAAUCGGAAUUACUGGGCGUAAAGCGCACGCAGGCGGUCUGUCAAGUCGGAUGUGAAAUCCCCGGGCUCAACCUGGGAACUGCAUUCGAAACUGGCAGGCUAGAGUCUUGUAGAGGGGGGUAGAAUUCCAGGUGUAGCGGUGAAAUGCGUAGAGAUCUGGAGGAAUACCGGUGGCGAAGGCGGCCCCCUGGACAAAGACUGACGCUCAGGUGCGAAAGCGUGGGGAGCAAACAGGAUUAGAUACCCUGGUAGUCCACGCCGUAAACGAUGUCGAUUUGGAGGUUGUGCCCUUGAGGCGUGGCUUCCGGAGCUAACGCGUUAAAUCGACCGCCUGGGGAGUACGGCCGCAAGGUUAAAACUCAAAUGAAUUGACGGGGGCCCGCACAAGCGGUGGAGCAUGUGGUUUAAUUCGAUGCAACGCGAAGAACCUUACCUGGUCUUGACAUCCACAGAACUUUCCAGAGAUGGAUUGGUGCCUUCGGGAACUGUGAGACAGGUGCUGCAUGGCUGUCGUCAGCUCGUGUUGUGAAAUGUUGGGUUAAGUCCCGCAACGAGCGCAACCCUUAUCCUUUGUUGCCAGCGGUUCGGCCGGGAACUCAAAGGAGACUGCCAGUGAUAAACUGGAGGAAGGUGGGGAUGACGUCAAGUCAUCAUGGCCCUUACGACCAGGGCUACACACGUGCUACAAUGGCAUAUACAAAGAGAAGCGACCUCGCGAGAGCAAGCGGACCUCAUAAAGUAUGUCGUAGUCCGGAUUGGAGUCUGCAACUCGACUCCAUGAAGUCGGAAUCGCUAGUAAUCGUAGAUCAGAAUGCUACGGUGAAUACGUUCCCGGGCCUUGUACACACCGCCCGUCACACCAUGGGAGUGGGUUGCAAAAGAAGUAGGUAGCUUAACCUUCGGGA